CGUGGGAAGACUCCAGAAUCCACUCUGGCUGGAAUCCGGUGGAUACAGCAGUGUUACAGAACAGUUCGCCACAGUCGCUGUCCACAUGGGUCAGUGGGACCAAGCAGCACUCUGCUAAUGUGUGGACUCUGACCAGCAACAUCCAGCAAGACCCAGGCAGCGUUUUCUAUCUCCCAGCUGGAGUUUUUUGUUUGUCUGUGACUGGAGAGUCAGAUUUUUGUUGAAGCUGGAGGAACAGAGAGGUUAAUACAUGCUACUGAUCCCUGAUGGGAGAAUCAUCACCUCUGCCAACAAAGAAGCCUGGUGGAUGUUUGUUUACAGUCUGAUGAUGGGACAUCAUGCUCUGCAUCUUCAAAGUUUGUCUCUUGAUUAUUAUUCAUACACAGUAAUGUGAAUUAUGCUUAUAUCUAGUAUAACUGGACCAACCUGGUGCUCUUCAUUUAUGGAGGCUGUUGAGUCUGAAUGUUGGAUGUUGUGUAUCUCGUGUUCUCUGGGCUUUGUUGUCCUCAGUCUUUUUGCAGGAUCAGAAAACA